rnacentral:rRNA from 1 species
UACGGGAGGCAGCAGUGGGGAAUAUUGCACAAUGGGCGCAAGCCUGAUGCAGCCAUGCCGCGUGUAUGAAGAAGGCCUUCGGGUUGUAAAGUACUUUCAGUCGUGAGGAAGGUGUUAAGGUUAAUAACCUUAGCAAUUGACGUUAGCGACAGAAGAAGCACCGGCUAACUCCGUGCCAGCAGCCGCGGUAAUACGGAGGGUGCGAGCGUUAAUCGGAAUUACUGGGCGUAAAGGGCACGCAGGCGGUUAAUUAAGUUGGAUGUGAAAUCCCCGGGCUUAACCUGGGAAUGGCAUUCAAGCUGGUUAGCUAGGGUCUUGUAGAGGGGGUAGAAUUCCAUGUGUAGCGGUGAAAUGCGUAGAGAUGUGGAGGAAUACCGGUGGCGAAGGCGGCCCCUGGACAAAGACUGACGCUCAUGUGCGAAAGCGUGGGGAGCAAACAGGGAUUAGAUACC